rnacentral:rRNA from 1 species
UACGUAGGGUGCGAGCGUUGUCCGGAAUUACUGGGCGUAAAGAGCUCGUAGGUGGUUUGUCGCGUUGUUCGUGAAAUCUCACGGCUUAACUGUGAGCGUGCGGGCGAUACGGGCAGACUGGAGUACUGCAGGGGAGACUGGAAUUCCUGGUGUAGCGGUGGAAUGCGCAGAUAUCAGGAGGAACACCGGUGGCGAAGGCGGGUCUCUGGGCAGUAACUGGCGCUGAGGAGCGAAAGCGUGGGGAGCGAACAGG